rnacentral:rRNA from 1 species
UGGGGAAUAUUGCACAAUGGGCGCAAGCCUGAUGCAGCCAUGCCGCGUGUGUGAAGAAGGCCUUCGGGUUGUAAAGCACUUUCAGCGGGGAGGAAGGCGGUGAGGUUAAUAACCUCAUCGAUUGACGUUACCCGCAGAAGAAGCACCGGCUAACUCCGUGCCAGCAGCCGCGGUAAUACGGAGGGUGCAAGCGUUAAUCGGAAUUACUGGGCGUAAAGCGCACGCAGGCGGUUUGUUAAGUCAGAUGUGAAAUCCCCGGGCUCAACCUGGGAACUGCAUCUGAUACUGGCAAGCUUGAGUCUCGUAGAGGGGGGUAGAAUUCCAUGUGUAGCGGUGAAAUGCGUAGAGAUGUGGAGGAAUACCGGUGGCGAAGGCGGCCCCCUGGACAAAGACUGACGCUCAGGUGCGAAAGCGUGGGGAGCAAACAGG